rnacentral:rRNA from 1 species
UACCAGCUCUCCGAGUGGUGUGGAUGUUUAUUGGGCCUAAAGCAUCCGUAGCUGGCUGGGCAAGUCCCCUGUUAAAUCCACCGAUUUAAUCGUUGGAGUGCGGGGGAUACUGUUCGGCUAGGGGACGGGAGAGGCAGACGGUAUUUUCGGGGUAGGGGUGAAAUCCUAUAAUCCCGGGAAGACCACCAGAGGCGAAGGCUGUCUGCUAGAACGCGCCCGACGGUGAGGGAUGAAAGCUGGGGGAGCGAACCGGAUUAGAUACCCGGGUAGUCCCAGCUGUAAACGAUGCAGGCUAGGUGUUUGGGCGGCCACGUGCCGCUCUAGUGCCGCAGGAAGCCGUUAAGCCUGCCGCCUGGGGAGUACGGCCGCAAGGCUGAAACUUAAAGGAAUUGGCGGGGAGCACCACAAGGGGUGAAGCUUGCGGUUU